GAUCUCUCUUGCAUUUUUUACUUCUUUUUGACUUUAUGGGCUACACUCACAUCCAUUGUGUGUGAGUCGCCGAUGUAAAAAAAAUUAAAAAAAUAAUAAAAAAAUAAUAAUAAGUACUUCUCUUUGCUUAUGCAGAUUAAGAGUAUCAUCGGUAACAAUAAGAGUGUACAUGUUGAACAAAUGGAGUGCAUGCAUUCACAGUGAGAUGCU
rnacentral:lncRNA from 1 species